CCUACGGGGGGCAGCAGUGGGGGAUAUUGCACAAUGGGGGAAACCCUGAUGCAGCGACGCCGCGUGUGGGAAGACGGUCCUCUGGAUUGUAAACUACUGUCGUCAGGGGCGAAAAUGACGGUACCUGGGCUGGAAGCUCCGGCUAACUGCGUGCCAGCAGCCGCGGUAAUACGGAGGGAGCGAGCGUUGGCCGGAAUUACGGGGGGUAAAGGGAGCGUAGGCGGGGAUGCAAGUUGGGUGUAAAAACUACCGGCUCAACUGGUAGUCGCCCUCGAAACUGCAGCUCUUGAGUGAAGUAGAGGCAGGCGGAAUGCCGAGUGUAGCGGUGAAAUGCGUAGAUAUUAGGAGGAACACCGGUGGCGAAGGCAGCCUGCUGGGCGUUUACUGACGCUGAGGCUCGAAAGCGUGGGGAGCAAACAGGAUUAGAUACCCCAGUAGUC
rnacentral:rRNA from 1 species